rnacentral:rRNA from 1 species
AGUGAACGCUGGCGGUCGGCCUAACACAUGCAAGUCGAACGGCCGCACAGUAAGAGCUUGCUCUUACGGGUGGCGAGUGUCGGACGGGUGAGGAAUACAUCGGAAUCUACUUUUUCGUGGGGGAUAACGUAGGGAAACUUACGCUAAUACCGCAUACGACCUACGGGUGAAAGCAGGGGAUCUUCGGACCUUGCGCGAUUGAAUGAGCCGAUGUCGGAGUAGCUAGUUGGCGGGGUAAAGGCCCACCAAGGCGACGAUCCGUAGCUGGUCUGAGAGGAUGAUCAGCCACACUGGAACUGAGACACGGUCCAGACUCCUACGGGAGGCAGCAGUGGGGAAUAUUGGACAAUGGGCGCAAGCCUGAUCCAGCCAUACCGCGUGGGUGAAGAAGGCCUUCGGGUUGUAAAGCCCUUUUGCUGGGAAAGAAAAGCAGCAGGUUAAUACCCCGCUGUUCUGACGGUACCCAAAGAAUAAGCACCGGCUAACUUCGUG